CAGGAAAAUGGCUUGGUAAAUUACAGUUCAUGGUAGAAUUUUGGAGUUAUAUAGGCCAUUCUCAAAUAUUCCAUCUUGUCUUUGAGGCACACAGAUACUCUGCAGCAAUUUCAGAUGUCCUGCCCCGCCUGACCUCUUGAGCCCAAGAGACUAUGGUGAGCAGAGCCCUCUGCUGGCUAGAGUCAGGAAUGCAAAAGGGAAAGGCCUCCCUUGAGUGUCAACAAAGCAUGGCGUAUCAAGUUGAGGCAAGACCAAGGUUGUGACCAUCCUUUGCUUAUCCAUCCUCUCUUUAGUGUAAGUAGCAUCUCCAAACGCAGGCAGCUGCUGCCCAGGGCCACAGCAACCCCUAACAAACUGACCAAUUCAGCCAGGGAAGGGCGUCUGCAGCACAUACUGGACACACGGGGAGCCCAAGGACCCACAACAGAGCUGGGCUGAGCCAAGUCAGAGGCAGUAGACCCCUGGGAUGUAGACAUCCCCACAGGACAGCUGGCCUCCCUGUGGCUGUCAGGAGCGAGAGCAGCAUUCACAGGGGAGUGGGCCUCUCCAGCUGCCCAGCUCUCCAGCUCCCAGCAGCAUGACAAUCCAUGCCUCUCCAGAGAAACUACAGGGAGGUAUUAGCAUGAGCUCUGGGGACCGGCAGUGGAGGGCCUGCUAAGCUGGGUAACUUCAGCAAGCUGUCACGUGCUUUCAUUUUCUCAUCGGUAAAAAGAGUGACAGUAGCGAGGAUGACCUCCGAUCAGUAGAGUCUGAGGUUGAAGCCUCCUACAGGCUACUCCCAUGGCUGUUUUCAUUCCUCCCAAAUCCCUGAGCUCCCCCAAGGUAGAAGGGGGGGGUCUUG